UUUGCGAAUGAGCUAAACCCAAGGCGCCCGAAAGGUAUAUAAAGCGGGGGAGGGAAUCAAAGCGUUGCCUAGAAGAAAGAAAGAAGCAAAGGGGAAUGAUCCAAACCUGAAGUUGCCAGGGCUUUCCAAACCAAUCUCCUACAUUUUUCAAUGCUUAAGUCGAUGGGUUUUCUUUCAGGUUCCCUGGAGAAUCCCUUAGUUAUUUAAACCUCAUUUCUUUUCAUCUUCCCAUAUCACAAUCCUAGCUAGCCUUUCCUGGAUUCUGUCUUCGAUGCAGACCCAACGAGAAGGUCCUGUUAUGGAAGUGAAAAUGAAAUUGCUUGGAGAACUUGAAGCAUUCGGAUUUCCACGAGCCCGAGCAGUUCGAGCACUUCAUCAUUCAGGUAAUACUAGCCUUGAGGCUGCUGUAAAUUGGCUCAUUGAUCACGAUAAUGAUGAAGACAUUGAUCAGAUGCCCUUGGUAGCGAUAAACUUGGAUAUUGAGUCGCCUCAGCCAUCUGAUAUCACAGAAGCAAUAAAAAUUAAAGAACAGGAACUAAGGGCUCGAGUUCGCAUAAGGAAAGAAGAAGAAGAAAAGAAAAGUUCAACAGAACGGGAGAAGGAAAGGAUUCGAGCAGGUAAAGCAUUCCUUGAAGCAAAGAGAAUUGCAGAGGAAAAUGAACAACAACGCCUUUUAGCCUUGCGAAAAGCAGAGAAAGAGGAACAGAGAAGGGCAAGGGAGAAAGUGCUUCAGAAAUUAGAAGUGGAUAAGUUAGAAAGAAAGCGAGCACUUGGAUUGCCACUUGAAAGCCGAGCUGUGAAACCAUCUGGACCGAUUAUACAAGAAAGAAAGAGUUCUUUGCCUGCUAAGUCCGUUAAAAAGGAUGAGUCCAUGAGAGAAUGUCUAAGGUCUCUGAAGCGCACUUACAAGGAUGAUCAUGCCAGAGUUAAAAGGGCAUUCCAAACCCUAUUGAUUUAUGUCGGAAAUGUUGCAAGGAGGCCUGAUGAGGAAAAGUACAGGAAGAUUCGACUUGGUAACCCACACUUCCAGGAGAGGGUUGGGAGCCUGAAAGGAGGUAUUGAGUUUCUUGAGCUUUGUGGGUUUGAGAGAAGUGAAGGGAGCGAGUUCUUGAUUUUACCUGGUGGCAAGGUCGAUGUAGAAGUGCUUAACUCAGCUGGCUCUCUGUUAGGAUCUGCAAUCACAAAUCCCUUCUUUGGUCUUUUCGAACAGAUGAGAGAAGAUUAACGUUGCAAUAUGAGAUUCAAUUACAUUAGUUGAACGUGAAUGCUGAAAGGAUGACCAUAGAUGAAUAAAAUAUUGGAAUUUGUACCUACCUCUAUUGUAGAAACUUUUAUGGGUCUGAGUGUUCGCUAAUGUUUUACAAAGCAAUUGCAAGUGACUUGUGAAGAAAGUUUGGAAGCAAGUGUUUGAUGUAUGUUGUCUAUAGCAAGUGUUUGAUUAAGCAGCUGGGUUCCAAUGAGGUCACAAAGAAAAGCUUUCCAACUGUUACGUGCAAUGAAGAUUCAAGGCAAACCAAACUAAAG